rnacentral:rRNA from 1 species
UACAGAGGGUGCAAGCGUUGUUCGGAAUUAUUGGGCGUAAAGGGCGCGUAGGCGGUGCGGUAAGUCUGUAGUGAAAUCUCUGGGCUCAACUCAGAGUCUGCUAUAGAAACUGCCGUGCUUGAGUGUGGGAGAGGUGAGUGGAAUUCCCGGUGUAGCGGUGAAAUGCUUAGAUAUGACAUAGAACACCCAUGCGAAGGCAGCUUACUACGCCUAUAUUGACGCUGAGGCACGAAAGCGUGGGGAUCAAACAGG